CGUCCAGACUCCUACGGGAGGCAGCAGUGAGGAAUAUUGGUCAAUGGACGAGAGUCUGAACCAGCCAAGUAGCGUGAAGGGUGACUGCCCUAUGGGUUGUAAACUUCUUUUAUAUGGGAAUAAAACAGGGUAUGCAUACCCUCUUGUAUGUACCAUAUGAAUAAGGAUCGGCUAACUCCGUGCCAGCAGCCGCGGUAAUACGGAGGAUCCGAGCGUUAUCCGGAUUUAUUGGGUUUAAAGGGAGCGUAGGCUGUGAGGUAAGUCAGCGGUGAAAUGCCCCCGCUCAACGGGGUGAAGUGCCAUUGAUACUGCCUUGCUGGAAUGCGGAUGCCGUGGGAGGAAUGUGUGGUGUAGCGGUGAAAUGCAUAGAUAUCACACAGAACACCGAUUGCGAAGGCAUCUCACGAAGCCGCGAUUGACGCUGAUGCACGAAAGCGUGGGUAUCAAACAGGAUUAGAUACCCCUGUAC
rnacentral:rRNA from 1 species